UACAGGGGGUGCAAACGUUGCUCGGAAUCAUUGGGCGUAAAGCGCACGUAGGCGGUUCGUUAUGUCGGAUGUGAAAGCCCUUGGCUUAACCGAGGAAGUGCAUCCGAAACUGGCGAGCUAGAGUACGAAAGAGGAUCGCGGAAUUCCCGGUGUAGAGGUGAAAUUCGUAGAUAUCGGGAGGAACACCAGUGGCGAAGGCGGCUCACUGGACUGGUAUUGACGCUGAGGUGCGAAAGCGUGGGGAGCAAACAGG
rnacentral:rRNA from 1 species